UCCUUGGGCUUGUUAUUAUCUUUUUCUAAAAUUAUGUAUUGUUUAAAACUACCACAGACACCCUAAUGAGUACAUCAUGACUAACAAUCAUGCAGAGGUUUUUAUAUAAAGUUCCUUAAUGACUAAUGACAUUAUGCAUCUUGUUGUGUCAUUGUCAUUUGCAUGUCUUUUGAGACCUAUCUAUUGAAAUAUUUUUCUAUUUUUCAGCGGUGCUGCUCAGCUUUUGAAGACUGAAUGUAAUAGUUCUUUCUAUAUUUGGAGUACUAGACCUCUUGGCUAUGGCUUUAAGAUGGAUGCAGGCGCAUGUAUAGAAUGGAAAAGAGAUCCCCACCAGGAAUCAGAUGCUUGUGGCAAAAUAUAUUUUUGGAAUUUUCCAGUUUGUUCUAUUCUUCCAAAACCCAGCCCUGCUUGGACUAUGUGACACAGAUGGAGAGACUUUGAAGCUUCAUAUGACAGUGGAUCUGGUACAAAGAAAUAUGGACUACAUGGACUAUAGGCUCUUUCUAAGGCUUUUGACUGGUUUGAGACCUCUACGAUUCUCUCUCCCUUUCUCUCUAUGUGUCAAAGACACAGAUACACACACACACACACACACACACACACACACACACAGAGAGAGAGAGAGAGAGAGAGAGAGAGAGAGAGAGAGAGAGAGAGAGAGAGAGAGAGACUGAGAGACUGAGAGGAAUAACAAUGCUGGAAGCAAUGUCAGGUCCUUGCGUUCUGCUCCCAUCUUUAGCCACCACAUGAGUUUGAGGUGGAGUUCAGUAGAAGCAUUUACAGAAGACAAGACCUGAGUUACAGGCUAGGUAAGGUCAGAAAGAGUCAGCAUGGAGAGCAUGCUUAUUCCUCUUCCUGGAUUCCUGGUACUGAAGGAAAAGUGGAGGUGUAGCAUCUGAGAUCCAAGAAGCAAUGUCUUUCAAUCUCAUAGCUUCAACUGUAGCUGAUGUAAUACAAAUUUCCACAUGCUAUAUGCUCUCUUCAUACAUGACUUUCUCUUGUUAAUUUCAGACUGAGAUCUCUACCUUGCAUACUCAACAACUUCUUUUGGCUCUCUUAAACACUUCGAAUUCAACAUAUUGAAAAACUGAGUUUAUAAUUUCUCCCCCUUUGUCAUUAUUUAUAUUUUAGUAGCAUCAUUCCUGAGAUCAGUAAGAGUGAUAUCUCCACCUGGAAGUUUAAUAGGCAUCUUAGACUUAACAAGGACAAUAGGAACUCACAUCUUCAUGGUUGGAAGCAGCCUUGUACAACCAGUAUCUACCAUAAAUGCAGCAAGCAAAGUGGAAAUAAACUGAUAUUGUCUCUUUGCAUUAUUGUUUGCUUUUCAGAAUGCUUUUGGAAUGAAUAAAGUUUCUACUCUUGUAAAA